rnacentral:rRNA from 1 species
UACGUAGGGUGCAAGCGUUGUCCGGAAUUAUUGGGCGUAAAGAGCUCGUAGGCGGCUUGUCGCGUCGACUGUGAAAACCUGGGGCUUAACUCCGGGCCUGCAGUCGAUACGGGCAAGCUAGAGUUCGGUAGGGGAGACUGGAAUUCCUGGUGUAGCGGUGAAAUGCGCAGAUAUCAGGAGGAACACCGGUGGCGAAGGCGGCUACCUGGACAGAAACUGACGCUGAGGCGCGAAAGCUAGGGGAGCAAACAGG